rnacentral:lncRNA from 1 species
UACUUAUUUAUAUAGUAUCUAUCUAAAAGAGUUUCCCUUGGUGCUUGUUUGUUUGCAAUGUUAUGAGCAUUCACCUGACGAGUGCAAAGUCUUUGGUUGGAGUUGCACAAAAGGAAAAGAAGGCAGCAAAUCCAUGCUCCAGCUAAUUUAAAAAAGGGCACACACCAAAUGCUUUCACAAGCAUUAUAGUGCUUUUAACAGAUCACACAGUUUUGCUUUUCUAGGCCAUGCAAAUACUAAAAGGCACUUUGCAUUGUGUCUUCAUCAAGAUUGGGUAUCAAUGUGGGCUUU